rnacentral:rRNA from 1 species
UAAGGAAUAUUGCUCAAUGGGAGAAAUCCUGAAGCAGCAACGCCGCGUGGAGGAUGAAGGGUCUAUGACUUGUAAACUCCUGUAAAGAAGGAAAAAAUUCCCAUUUGAUGGGAGAUGAUGGUACUUCUGGAGUAAGCCCCGGCUAACUACGUGCCAGCAGCCGCGGUAAUACGUAGGGGGCAAGCGUUGUCCGGAUUUACUGGGUGUAAAGGGAGCUCAGGCGGAUUUGUAAGUCAGAGGUGAAAUCUUACAGCUUAACUGUGAAACUGCCUUUGAUACUGCAAGCCUAGAGUAUGGAAGAGAGUGAUGGAAUAUCUGGUGUAGCAGUGAAAUGCGUAGAUAUCAGAUAGAACACCAAUGGCGAAGGCAGUCACUUGGUCCAUUACUGACGCUAAAGCACGAAAGCGUGGGUAGCAAACA